CUUUGCCCAUUGGUUGCAUUUCUGCUCCCUUUGCAGGUUUCGAUGGCACCGUUUGCAUUUACGACACUUGCAGCUGGGACGGGCGCGACGCUGCGCCGCUGUUUGUGCAUCGCGGCCACGCGCUGCGGCUGCAGCCAUUGGUCACUGCACACACGUGGCACCCACACAAAGCACGGACUGUGCUGUCUGCAGCCAGCAAUGGAGCAUUGCACGUCUGGGAAUGGGUGCAGCCUCACUGCAGCUGAUGCAGGGGAUGCAUGGGGGGCUGCAGUGCUGGGAGNUGCAACGUGAUGCAUUGGGGGCUGCAGUGCUGGGAGGUGCAAGGUGAUGCAUUGGGGGCUGCAGUGCUGGGGGGUGCAACGUGAUGCAUUGGGGGUUGCUCUGCUUGCAGGUGCAGACCUGAAUGCUCUGCUUGCAGGUGCAACGUGAUGCUCACGUCUGGGGCUGGGUGCAGCCUCACUGCAGCUGAUGCAGGGGAUGAUGCAUGGGGGGCUGCAGUGCUGGGAGGUGCAUUGGGGAGCAUUGCUGCUCUGCUUGGAGCUGCAAGGUGAUGCAUUGGGGGUUGCUCUGCUUGCAGGUGCAAGGUGAUGCAUUGGGGGCUGCAGUGCUGGGGGGUGCAACGUGAUGCAUUGGGGGCUGCUCUGAUUGGAGGUGCAACGUGAUGCAUUGGGGGCUGCAGUGCUGGGAGGUGCAAUGUGAUGCAUUGGGGGUUGCUUUGCUUUGCUUGGAGGUGCAACAUGAUGCAUUGGGGGCUGCAGUGCUUGGAGGUGCAGAGCUGAGCAUUGCUGCUCUGCUUGGAGCUGCAAGGUGAUGCUUUGGGGGUUGCUUUGCUUGGAGGUGCAUUGGGGAGCAUUGCUGCUCUGCUUGGAGGUGCAUGGUGAUGCAUUGGGGGCUGCAGUGCUUGGAGGUGCAGAGCUGAGCCGUGCUGCUCUGCUUGGAGGUGCAUGGUGAUGCUUUUAGGGCUGCUUUGCUUUGCUUGGAGGUGCAAGGUGAUGCAUUGGGGGUUGCUUUGCUUGGAAGUGCAGAGCUGGGCCUGGAUGCUGGAACACGGAGUUGCAAGGGCUGCUCCUUUUGCUCUGCAUUCCCGUUUGUUCCUUCUGCAUUCCCAUGUGUUGCAAUGACUUUGCGUUGUUUGCUCUGCACUCCCACGUGUUGGGAUGAGUUUUAACUGCAUUGUUUGCUCUGUUCUUGGGGUUGCAAGGGCUGUUUGUUUUGCUCUGCACUAUCAUUUGUUGUUGGGAUGAGUUUGCAUUGUUUGCUCUGUUCCUUUUGCUCUGCACCCCCAUGUGUUGCAAUGAGUUUGCGUUGUUUGCUCUGUUCCUUUUGCUCUACGCUCCCAUGUGUUGCAAUGACUUUGCGUUGUUUGCUCUGUUCCUUUUGCUCUGCACUCCCAUUAUUUGUUGGGAUGAGUUUGUUUGCAUUGUUUGCUCUGUUCUUGGAACUGCAAGGGCUGCUCCCUUUGCUCUG